rnacentral:rRNA from 1 species
UACGUAGGGUGCAAGCGUUGUCCGGAAUUAUUGGGCGUAAAGAGCUCGUAGGCGGUUUGUCGCGUCUGCUGUGAAAACGCGAGGCUCAACCUCGCGCCUGCAGUGGGUACGGGCAGACUAGAGUGCGGUAGGGGAGAUUGGAAUUCCUGGUGUAGCGGUGGAAUGCGCAGAUAUCAGGAGGAACACCGAUGGCGAAGGCAGGUCUCUGGGCCGAUACUGACGCUGAGGAGCGAAAGCGUGGGGAGCGAACAGG